GACGAACGCUGGCGGCGUGCUUAACACAUGCAAGUCGAACGGUGAAGCGCCUUCCUUUUUGGUGGGUGUGGAUGAGUGGCGAACGGGUGAGUAACACGUGAGUAACCUGCCCCCUUCUUCUGGAUAACCGCAUGAAAGUGUGGCUAAUACGGGAUAUUCUGGUUCUGUCGCAUGAUGGGUCUGGGAAAGAUAUUGUCUCGGUGGGGGAUGGGCUCGCGGCCUAUCAGCUUGUUGGUGGGGUGAUGGCCUACCAAGGCGGUGACGGGUAGCCGGCCUGAGAGGGUGGACGGUCACACUGGGACUGAGACACGGCCCAGACUCCUACGGGAGGCAGCAGUGGGGAAUAUUGCACAAUGGGCGCAAGCCUGAUGCAGCGACGCCGCGUGAGGGAUGGAGGCCUUCGGGUUGUGAACCUCUUUCGCCAGUGAAGCAGGCCUGCCUCGUUUGUGGGUGGGUUGACGGUAGCUGGAUAAGAAGCGCCGGCUAACUACGUG
rnacentral:rRNA from 1 species